AUCUGCCUGGUAGUGGGGGAUAACGUUCCGAAAGGAACGCUAAUACCGCGUACGUCCUACGGGAGAAAGCAGGGGACCUUCGGGCCUUGCGCUAUCAGAUGAGCCUAGGUCGGAUUAGCUAGUUGGAGAGGUAAUGGCUCACCAAGGCGACGAUCCGUAACUGGUCUGAGAGGAUGAUCAGUCACACUGGAACUGAGACACGGUCCAGACUCCUACGGGAGGCAGCAGUGGGGAAUAUUGGACAAUGGGCGAAAGCCUGAUCCAGCCAUGCCGCGUGUGUGAAGAAGGUCUUCGGAUUGUAAAGCACUUUAAGUUGGGAGGAAGGGCUGUAGGCUAAUAUCCUGCAGUUUUGACGUUACCAACAGAAUAAGCACCGGCUAACUUCGUGCCAGCAGCCGCGGUAAUACGAAGGGUGCAAGCGUUAAUCGGAAUUACUGGGCGUAAAGCGCGCGUAGUUGGUUCGUUAAGUUGGAUGUGAAAGCCCCGGGCUCAACCUGUGAACUGCAUCCAAAACUGGCGAGCUAGAGUACGGUAGAGGGUAGUGGAAUUUCCUGUGUAGCGGUGAAAUGCGUAGAUAUAGGAAGGAACACCAGUGGCGAAGGCGACUACCUGGACUGAUACUGACACUGAGGUGC
rnacentral:rRNA from 1 species